CCUACGGGGGGCAGCAGUGAGGAAUAUUGGUCAAUGGCCGUAAGGCUGAACCAGCCAAGUAGCGUGAGGGAAGACUGCCCUAUGGGUUGUAAACCUCUUUUAUGCGGGGAUAAAGGUGUCCACGUGUGGAUGUUUGCAGGUACCGCAUGAAUAAGGACCGGCUAAUUCCGUGCCAGCAGCCGCGGUAAUACGGAAGGUCCGGGCGUUAUCCGGAUUUAUUGGGUUUAAAGGGAGCGUAGGCCGGUCUUUAAGCGUGCCGUGAAAUUUUGUGGCUCAACCAUGGGAGUGCGGCGCAAACUGGAGGCCUUGAGUGGGCGGAAGGCAGGCGGAAUUCGUGGUGUAGCGGUGAAAUGCUUAGAUAUCACGAAGAACCCCGAUUGCGAAGGCAGCCUGCCGCAGCGUUACUGACGCUGAAGCUCGAAAGCGCGGGUAUCGAACAGGAUUAGAUACCCGGGUAGUC
rnacentral:rRNA from 1 species